AAUAUUGCACAAUGGGGGAAACCCUGAUGCAGCGACGCCGCGUGAGCGAAGAAGGCCUUCGGGUCGUAAAGCUCUGUCCUAAGGGAAGAAACGGCCGGUACCUUAGCAGGAAGCCACGGCUAACUACGUGCAAGCAGCCGCGGUAAUACGUAGGGGGCGAGCGUUGUCCGGAAUUACUGGGCGUAAAGGGUACGUAGGCGGCUAUAUAAGUCAGGUGUGAAAUACCAGUGCUUAACACUGGAAUUGCAUUUGAAACUGUGUAGCUUGAGUGCAGGAGAGGAAAGUGGAAUUCCUAGUGUAGCGGUGAAAUGCGUAGAGAUUAGGAGGAACACCAGUGGCGAAGGCGACUUUCUGGACUGUAACUGACGCUGAGGUACGAAAGCGUGGGUAGCGAACA
rnacentral:rRNA from 1 species